GCUGUGGACUUCAUGGGGCUGCUAUAAUGUCUGUGUGCCUUAUUGUCUUUUGGAAUCCAGAACAUUCUGAAUUACAAAGCACUCCAAGAAUUUCAGAGUUGCAAACAUGCUGACACCCUAAAUGAUCUGAUAUGGGAUCCCUAAUAAGCCUGGAGGUGUUCACCAGAUGAAGUCCUGCCCUCGCUUGUCCGCGCUGCUUCUGUGUUAGAAACUCAGCUUAGGCACGAGGACAGGAAUCGGCUGUUCUGAUUUCACAACCAUCAUGCUUUCCACGGCUGACUGAUUGGAGAUCUGACUACACUUUACACCUAGACGUCCAGCACUAUUUGUUCCUGUUCUUUUCAUUGUGUAGUUUGUCUUGAAAGAAAGCCUCAGCGUGCUAUUUCUGAGGGCCUAUCGACUGCUCCGACGUGGCCAGAAUACUGUAUCACCGUCCCCUUGUGUUCACGCAUAAAUUGGAUCCUACCAUUCUCAGAUUGGACGUCUAUGCUUACCGAUGCAAGCAUUUUAUCAAAAACUCAAGUCCUUAAAAGAAUUUCUGGGAAUAAUGCUGAAGAUCAAGUAUGUCUGUGCUUUGCCCCUUUUAGAAGACUUGUUUCUGUAGGAAUGGACACUGGAACACCAACAUGCAGCCCAAUGACACCCCAACUUGAAGUGGUCCCAAGAACAAUUGGGCUUUGUUUUGUUUUAAUGGUUCCCACAGUUCCAUGUGGUGGUAAGAAUGAGAAGUCCCAGAGCAACAGAAACAUGAAUGUCUACAGACAUGCAACCUCAAAACAGAUUAAGACUUACCCCCAAUUUCAGAUUCAGGAUUAAAAAGACUAUUGAAAUUUAGGUACUGCUCUGGACUUUUGAACUGGUGAAGUUUCUGGAAUAGUUUUCUUUCUAUCCUAGAAAAUGGCUCACAGAACAACCUUAUAUUUUAUUGGGCCACAGUAAAUAUUUCAGGCUCUACUAUUGUGGUAUUUUGUUAAGAAAGGCAAAUACAAUGAAUUACCUUUCAGUUAAUAGUGGAAAAGAAUGAUAUGGCUGAAAUAAAGCAGUUGAAUUAAAAUGUAAUUAUGGUUUCAGCUUUUUACCUCCCUGAUUAUGUUCUGCUUGGUUUAGUAAUACAUUUUUUCAUUUUUGCCUGGGGUCCUAGAUAUAUGUUUCAGGGAAGGCCAACACGGAUUCAGGUUAAAAGCAAUUUUCCCAUAGCCUGCUGAAGCUGGUCAAGUGGUUCAUGGAUAAGCUGGCAAGAAGGAGCCACAUAUUUAUUUUCUGUCAAAGACGAUAACCUUCCUUUGAGUGUUUUACUUCUGGAGGAGACUAAAUGUUUUUUCCUCAUUUGUCUAGAAGGCACCUAACUUACAAUGCAUCUAUUUGCCACAUGGUUUAGUGGCGGUAUUGAAGAGGAGAGAAGGAUGUAUUUGGUAAGGGUAUGCUGGAGACAUGAGGAUGGAUGGUAGUGAAAUUUCAUUGCUGCCAGCAAAGGAAUCAUUGAAACUGUUAAAAACUGUUAUCAAAAACAAUGAAAAGACUUAAAGCUAAACCAUCUGGGUCCAUUUAGUUUAGGGAUGGUGGAGACUGAAACCAUGGUGAUGGAGACUGGAAUUGAUAAUAGAAUCAUAGAAGCAAAACCUAUGGGAUUCUAAUGAUUGCUGAAGAUGAGGAAACUAACAGCAGACACACUUUUCUUGAGCCCACAUGGAACACAAAUAAAUCACAUUCUCAGACUCAAAACACACCUUAAUGAACUUAAAAGAAUAGAAAUCAUACAAUGUCUGUUCUAGAUCACAGUGGAAUUAAACUAGAAAAUAGAAAGAGAAAAGCAGAUAGAAAAAUCUCAAAAUACUUGGAGAUUCAACAACACUCUUAAAUAACACCUAAGUCAAAGAAGAAAUCUCAGGAGAAUUAAAAAAGCAAUUUGAAUUAAAUGAAACUGAAAAUGCUAAAAAAGUACUUUGAAUUAAAUGAAACUGAAAAUACAAUGAUCAAAAUUUGUAGGAUGCUGUGAAAGCAGUUCUCAGAGGGUUUGGGAAGGAAGAAGUAAAACUGUCUUUGUUUGCAGAUGACAUAAUUUUCUAUGUAGAAAAUCUGAAAGAAAUCCACAAAAAAACCUCUUGGAACUAAUAAACCACUAUAGCAAGGUUACAGGACACAAGGUUAAUAUACAAAAAGUCAAUUGGUUUCUUAUAUACCAUUAAUGAAUAAGUGGAAUUUGAAAUUAAAAACACAAUACCAUUUACAUUAGCACCCCCUAAAAAAGAAAUAUUUAGGUAUAAAUCUAACAAAAUAUGUACAAGCUUUAAAUGAGGAAAAUUACAAAACUGAUGAAAGAUAUCAAAGAUGAACUAAAUGAAUGGAGAGAUAUUCCAUAUUCAUGGACAGGAAGACUCAAUAUUUUCAAGAUGUCAGUCUUUACUAAAUUGGCCUAUAAAUUCAAUGUAAUUCCAGUAAAAAUCCCAGCAAACUAUUUUGUGUAUAUACAGAUGGAUUCUAACGUUUAUAUGGAGAAGCAAAAGACCCAGAAUAGCCAAUUCAAUAUUGAAGGAGAAGAACAAAACCAGACGACUGACACUACCCAACUUCAAAGCUUACUAUAAAAUUACAGUAAUCAAGACAGUGUGGUACUGGUGAGAGAAUAGACAAAUAGAUCAAUGGAACAGGACAGAGAGCCAAGAAAUAUACCCCUAUAAAUAGAGUCAACUGCUCUUUGACAAAUGAGCUGAGGCUAUACAGUGGAGCAAAUAGAAUCUUUGCAACAAGUGAUGCUGGAAAAACCGAACAUUCACGUGCCAAAAAAAAAAAAAAAAAGAAUCUAGGCAUAUACCUUAUACCCUUAACAAAAAUUUACUCAAAAUGGGUAAUAGAUUAAGAUGUAAAAUGCAAACUAUAAAACUCCUAGAAGACAACAUUUGAGAAAAACUAGAUGAUCUUGGAUAUGGCCAUGUCUUUUUAAACGCCAAAGGCAUGACCCAUGAAGGAAAGAAAGAUAAACUGGUCUUCAUUAAAAUUAAGAAUUUCUGCUCUGCAAAGGACACUGUCAACAGAGUGAGAAGACAAACCACAGACUAGAAGAUAUUUUCAAAAGGCACAUCUGGGAAAGAACUAUUAUCCAAAACAUACAAAGAAUUCUCAAAACUCAACAGUAAGAAAAGAUACAAUGUGAUUUAAAAAAUGGACAGAGACCUGAAGAGAUACCUUACCAAAGAAGAGAUACAGAUGACAAAAUAAGCACAUGAAAAGAUGCUCCACAUCAUAUAUCAGGGAAAUGCAAAUGAAAACAAUAAUGAGAUACCAGUGUACGCCUAUAGAAUGGCCAAAAACCAAAACAAAGACGACUCUAAAUGCCGACAAGGAUAUGGAACAACAGGAGCAUUCAUUCAUCGUUGGUGGAAUGUAAAAUGGUGCAGCCUCUUUGGAAGAUAAUUUGGCAGUUUCUUACAAAACUAGUCACAGUUUUGUCAUACGAUUCGUAAUUCAUGAUGCAUUGUAUUUACCCAAAUGAAUCAAAACUUAAUGUCUACACAAAAACCUGCACACAGAUGUUUAGAACAGCUUUAUUCAUCACUGCUGAAACUUCAAAACAACCAAAAUAUCCUUUAGUAAGUGAAUAGAUAAAUAAAUUGUGUUCCAUCUAGACAGUGGAAUAUUAUUCAACAGGAAAAAGAGAUAAGGUAUCUAGCCAUAAAAAGACUUGGAGGAACCUUAAAUAUAAAUUACUAAAUGAAAGAAUCUAAUCAGAAUAGGUUCUAUAUUGUAUGUUUCCAACCACUUGGCUUUGUGGAAAAGGCAAAACUAUGAGACAAUAAAAAGGUCAGUAGUUGCCAAGGGUUGUGGGGAGAGAGAGCAAUGAAUAAGUGGAACACAGAAGAUUUUUUGGGCAUGAAGCUAUUUUGUAUGAUACUACAAGGGUGGAUACAUCUCAUUAUGUAUUUUACAAUACUCAAAACUCACAGAAUGUGCAAUGCCAAGACUGAACUGUAAUGUAAACUGCGGACUUUGGGUGUUAAUGAUGAGCCCAAUGUCAGUUUAUCAAGUGUAACAUAGGUAUCACAAUGGUGCGGGAAGCUGAUAAUGGGGGAGGUUGUGUCUGGAGGGGACGGGGGGUAUAUGAGAACUCUCUACACUUUCCACUGAAUUUUGAUGUGAACUUAAAACUGCUCUAAAAACAAUUUAUUAAUUAGAAAAAGGAGAAAAUGAUUUCAGAGAAGUUCAGUGGUUUAAUUCAAGACCACAUGGCUUAUCUCUAGUCGAACCAGGACCCAGAAUCCUGGUCUUCUCAGACUGAAUCCAGGUUUCCUGUGAAACAAUGAAAAGAAAGACUACUUUAUGACCCAUUGACUGUAGGUUCAGAGGAGUGCAUGGUACAGUUUAGAAAGAAUACCACAGUGAUGGUGGGGGAAAAUGGUUGUUAUUCUUCAAGCUUUGGCUUUCUGGAAAUUCAUUUAUGUGGACCAGCUCAUACCUGAUUGGAAAGGAUAAAUGUGUGUGUGUGUGUGUGUGUGUGUAUGUGUGUGCAUCAGUGUAUGUGUAUUUGUGUAUAUGUAUGCACGUGUGUAUGUAUGUAUAUGUGUAUACAUGUAUGUAUGUAUGUAUAUGGGAAAAGGGUUGUUGCAUUUAUUAAUGUGUUAGUUACAGAGGAUUGAGAAUAUUACCCCUGUACUGUGUAGUGAUCAGAAGAGUCAUCUCUCUUCUUGAAAAGGAAAAAAAAAAACUACGCGAAGAUACAAAUAGAGAAGAACCAUGGUGUUAACAGGCCAUAUGUCUUGUUGGUGCCUCUUGUAAAAGAAUUAGAGAAAAGAUGGAAGUGAAGUCUUCCAGUGCAGUUGUUCAGGUUGUGGAAAGUUCCGCUUUAUUCCCUCGUGUCCCCUGUGGACACAGCCAGCUAACCAGGUGAGCUGCAGACUUUGGGGUCUCAUCUGGCCUGACUUGCUCAAUGUGGGCAUGACUCAGAGGUUGGAACACUAAUACCCUGUCUUUGAAAGCAGGUCAUCAUCUUGAGCACCACCAUGUCCAAAAUCUCCCAGAGGUCAGUGUCCAGUGGGUUUACCUCAGAGUUGUUCUGGUUAGCAGAGUUCAUUCCUGUCUGGUUCACAGGGGGAGGCUGAAUUUAACUCUGAAAGUUCAGUGCUGAGUUCCACUUCACUUUUUAAUGCCAAUGAAAAUGAGUCUUUUCUCAGGUUCAAAGCCAGAUGGAAAUGGCAAGUUGACAGAGAAAUAGUGUUCUGGGAGACUUUGCACCCUGGGGGUAAAAAUGAACAUCUCUGAUUUGAAAUCAUGUUUUCUAAACCAAUUUGUAAGUAAAAUUUUUAGAUUGCUUUUGCUUAUAUUUGGGUUUAUUAUUGAAAACUAUUUAACUGUUUGAUUUGGACCAAUCUUAAUCUUUAGGCAGGGUUUAUUUAAUGAUUAAUAAAAUGAUAGCUCUUUGGACCUCUGUUACAUCAGAUUAUGUGAAUUUAGUUUUGGAAUCUUUUUUU